rnacentral:rRNA from 1 species
GAUGAACGCUGACAGAAUGCUUAACACAUGCAAGUCUACUUGAAUUUGGGUUUUAACUUAGGUUUGGGUGGCGGACGGGUGAGUAACGCGUAAAGAACUUGCCUCACAGCUAGGGACAACAUUUAGAAAUGAAUGCUAAUACCUAAUAUUAUGAUAAUAGGGCAUCCUAUAAUUAUGAAAGCUAUAUGCGCUGUGAGAGAGCUUUGCGUCCUAUUAGCUAGUUGGUAAGGUAAAGGCUUACCAAGGCGAUGAUAGGUAGCCGGCCUGAGAGGGUGGACGGCCACAAGGGGACUGAGAUACGGCCCUUACUCCUACGGGAGGCAGCAGUGGGGAAUAUUGGACAAUGGAGGAAACUCUGAUCCAGCAAUUCUGUGUGUGUGAAGAAGGUCUUCGGAUUGUAAAACACUUUUAGUUGGGAAGAAACAAAUGA